CUUGACGACCAUAGAGCGUUGGAACCACCUGAUCCCAUCCCGAACUCAGUAGUGAAACGACGCAUCGCCGAUGGUAGUGUGGAGUUUCUCCAUGUGAGAGU
rnacentral:rRNA from 1 species